rnacentral:rRNA from 1 species
AUCCAGACUCCUACGGGAGGCAGCAGUGGGGAAUAUUGCGCAAUGGGGGAAACCCUGAUGCAGCAACGCCGCGUGGGUGAAGGAGCGUUUCGGCGCGUAAAGCCCUGUCAGCGGGGAAGAAGAAAGACGGUACCCGACCAAGAAGCCCCGGCUAACUACGUGCCAGCAGCCGCGGUAAUACGUAGGGGGCAAGCGUUAUCCGGAUUUACUGGGUGUAAAGGGUGCGUAGGUGGCAGGGCAAGUCAGAUGUGAAAGCCCGGGGCCCAACCCCGGUACUGCAUUUGAAACUGUCCGGCUGGAGUGCAGGAGAGGUAAGCGGAAUUCCUAGUGUAGCGGUGAAAUGCGUAGAUAUAAGGAAGAACACCAGUGGCGAAGGCGGAUUACUGGACGAUAACUGACGGUGAGGCGCGAAAGCGUGGGGAGCAAACAGGUUUAGAUACCCGAGUA